GAUGAACGCUGGCGGCGUGCCUAAUACAUGCAAGUCGAGCGAACGGACGAGAAGCUUGCUUUUCUGAUGUUAGCGGCGGACGGGUGAGUAACACGUGGAUAACCUACCUAUAAGACUGGGAUAACUUCGGGAAACCGGAGCUAAUACCGGAUAAUAUUUUGAACCGCAUGGUUCAAAAGUGAAAGACGGUCUUGCUGUCACUUAUAGAUGGAUCCGCGCUGCAUUAGCUAGUUGGUAAGGUAACGGCUUACCAAGGCAACGAUGCAUAGCCGACCUGAGAGGGUGAUCGGCCACACUGGAACUGAGACACGGUCCAGACUCCUACGGGAGGCAGCAGUAGGGAAUCUUCCGCAAUGGGCGAAAGCCUGACGGAGCAACGCCGCGUGAGUGAUGAAGGUCUUCGGAUCGUAAAACUCUGUUAUUCGGGAAGAACAUAUGUGUAAGUAACUGUGCACAUCUUGACGGUACCUAAUCAGAAAGCCACGGCUAACUACGUG
rnacentral:rRNA from 1 species